CAGCCGUAAACGAUGCGCGUUAGGUGUAUCGACGACCACGAGUCGUCGAGGUGCCGAAGGGAAACCGUGAAACGUGCCGCCUGGGAAGUACGGUCGCAAGGCUGAAACUUAAAGGAAUUGGCGGGGGAGCACCACAACAGGUGGAGCCUGCGGUUUAAUUGGACUCAACGCCGGAAAUCUCACCGGAUAAGACAGCUGAAUGAUUGUCAAUCUGAAGGUUUUACAUGACUAGCUGAGAGGAGGUGCAUGGCGUCAGUGACU
rnacentral:rRNA from 1 species